CAUCAAGCUGGACAACUUUCAUAAUUAUAGUUAGCUCUGCCCAACUGGAAUUCGGCCAUUUUGGAUUUAUUGAAUAUUGCAGUCUCUGAACUUUUAAACACUCCUCCUAGGGGAUUCAUGAGACUGUCACCACAUUUAGACAACAUUAUGCCAAGACAUUGAAGAUGAUAAAUUGUUAAAAGAAAAAUUUGAUAUAUCGAACAGUGUUGCCAUGGCAAAGCAUUAAAUUAUUUAUGAAAAAAUGGGAAACAGGAAGUGUCUCAUCUUCAGUAUGCAAUGUGGGAUUUUGAUCAAAAUUGAGAUGUAUGUUUAGUCUUGGGCUAAUCACAUGGAUGUGACUAUUUUGGUUCACGGUCACAGUGUCACCACCUGGCAGCAGGAAGUGAGGCUCUUACAAUAGACUUAACAAAGUUAUCUUAUAGUUACCCAAAUUGCUUCAAAAUUGUUAGAAUAUUGUCAAAUGCCAAAUGCAUGUGUCCACCUUGCACUGUUUUCUGAAAGCCACCGGGUGGAAAUGGACCAAUGGUGCUUGGGCCCAUCAUCACCGCUUGCAGCUAUAUUUUCUCAUUCUUUCUGUUAUUUUGCAUGUAUGUUACGUGUAUCUUGUCUUUGCUUGUCACCCAGCUUGGUCAAGCUUGUCAUUUGGCUGGUUUAUAGCGGUUUGGGAACUUUUUAGUUAGUCAGGCUGGAAGACAAGCUGGUCACCUUUGUUUUUGUUUUUCCUGUCUUUUCCUUAAAGGGCACCUAUUAUGGAAUUUUGAAAAUUACCUUUCAUGUAGUGUGUAACAUAGAUUUAAGUGAACAAAAACAUCCUGCAAAGUUUUAUAUAUGAAAUUUCACCGUAAAAAAAGUUAUUGUCUCUCAAAAGUAGGAGUCGACUCUGAGUCAAUGUAAUGAAUCAUUUUUCCAAUGAGUCAUUUUCCUUUUCGUUGUGACGUCAAGACGAAAAAUUAUCAAAUUGGCCACGCCCACUCAUUGCGCGCACAGACACCAGGGAAAACUUGAAAACAUCAUGUCGACAUCAAGACGCUGUGUUCUGAAGUGCAUAUCAAAAGAGACCUUUUUUUCACUGCCCAGGGACGAGCAUGUGAAGAAUCAGUGGCUAGAGUUUAUAUUUACAAAUAUACCACACAAGUAUAGCCCGAACCUUGUGCUGUGUUCGCGUCAUUUUAAUGAUGAUUGCUUUACAAACAUGAAUGCUUUCAAGUGUGGAUUCACGAGCCGGUUGAUACUGAAGGAAGGUUCAGUACCAAGUUUAUUUGGAUCAGCUUCCUCCUCCGAAUCACAACCUGUAAGUAUUAUUAAUAAUUGUUGCUUUUAUGUGUUUUUUAGCAUGCUUAAUAAGUAUUUGUGUGUGUUGUGUAAGUUGUGCUCAGCGCAGCUUCUAGGUCUCCAAUGUAAAUUUUUUUGAAGUAUGUGAAAUGUUUGUCGAUGUUAUUGGAGUUGUCAUAAAGAAUAGAGCAAUAACUUGUAGUAAUGCAGUGCUUUACCAAUAUGUUUAUGCGUUGGGCUAACGCAAACAAUAACUGAUUGGGUGUUUACCACCGAACUUUGGGCUAUGAUUGCUAACAUAAAUCAACUCAAAUUCCUUCUCUGAUUUAGAUUUUUUUACUACAAAGCGGUGAUGGGCGUUCCGUUUCCGACAAUCUCUGCACAGAGUAUACCAAUCACAACUGACUGGGUCAUCUGACCAAUCACCGCAGAUUAGCAUCACGCAAAGGAGGGGUUUGGAAAAAUGAGUCGUUGAACGAAUCAUUUGGGAGUCGGUGAGCAAAUCAGACUCUAGUCCUUACUCUUGCCCUGUGCCCUAUGCUGAGGACACUGCGUGUUCAGAUCCACUCUGCUGUCUCUACAGGGAGCUAUAUGGCUGGAUAUCACUCUGUGAUGCUUAUCAACUGCCCUACUGAACAGAUUGCCAGAGACAUUGGCAGAGCUGUACAUCCAUAUGACAUUCCAGAAAUCAUUAGUUUUCCUAUUGAUGAUGGAAGUCUGCACUACUUGAAGUGGAUGGAAGAUGUACUCCCUGAUAUUUAACACAUGAAUGUCUGCAGUCCAGCGUAGAUGCAGCCCUGGAGACUCAGUAUGCAGAAACAAAUGGGGAAUGUGAAUAAAAAUUCUCAGGUUAAUGGGAACCCUGAUCCAUACUGAGAUAUAUUAGAAUGAAUGUAUCUUCAUAUAAAGAUCAGUGUGUAUAUGUAGUGGUUAGAUUUGUGUGGAAAGGGAUAGUUGUCUGAUAAAGUUUUACCUGUAGCUCACAAAUGGCAAACAUAUCCUGACAUUUUUAAGGCUUAAAGGGGUAGUUCACCCAAAAAUUAUUAUUAUCUCAUAAAUUACUCACCCUUAUGUUGUCUCAAACUUGUAUGACGUUCAUUCUUCUUUGAAACACAAAAAAAGAUAUUGUAAUGGAAAUGUUCAAACUCAAAAAUGACAUUAAGGCAGCAUUAAGGUAAUUCAUAAGACUCCAGUGGUUUAGUCUUCUAAAGCAAUAGAAGAAAACAGACCAAAUUAAUUUUUUUCACUGCACAUCUUGGAAUUGCAGUCUCUAGACACGAUCUUGAUUUCAAGCUCAAUUACACUUCCUAGUGUUAGAUGCAUGCGCAGAGCGCUAGAUGGUGCAAGGGAGUGAAAUAGAGAUUCAAAUCAUAUUCACCAAAUGUCAAGAGAUUUUGACAUUUUGGUCUAUUCUUAUCCCAAGCCAAUUGGAUUACUUCAGAAGACAUGGAUUAAACCACUAUUGUCUUAUGGGAACUUCAUGCUGCCUUAAUGUCCUUUUUGGAGCUUGUUUGGUCACUAAAUUUUACUAAAUUAAUAAACUAAUUUAUCCCUAGCCUAUGUUCAUGAUAUCCAUUACAGAUGUAUGAUGUUUUUUAAUACAGUGACAUCUGAGGGAUCAGAGAUCACACGCAUUCAGAAAUGGUUUUCAUCUUGCCCUUUACACACUGAGAUUUGACCAGAGUCCUUGAAUCUUUUAAAUAUAGUGUGCACUGUAGAGGGUGAAAUGCCCAAAAUCCUUGUCUUUGGGGAACAUUGUUCUCAAAGUGCUGGAUUAUUUGCUGAAGCAUCUGUUUGCAAAUUCACAAGUAUUGAACAAUCCUUGCUCUUGAAGGACUAGGCUGUAUUUGGAGGCUCCUUAUACAGUAUACAGUAUUAUGACACAAUUACCUCACCUGUUUAACUUCUCCUGUUUCACAUCACCUUGUUAUUUAAAUUUGUCAAAUUGCUUUUAUUUUUAAAUUGCCCUUGUCUCAACUUUUUUGAGUGUGUUGCAAUCAUCUGAUUUGAAAAUACUAUACAUUUUAAGAAACUAUGAAAUUCACAAGGUAAAAGAAUGUCAGAAUGUCUAGUUGUAGUGCUUUCAAUUUAGCAAAGGGUGAAUAUAAUUUACAAAUCAUGUCUUUUUGUUUUUAUUAGCAUUUUUCAUACUGUCACAACUUUUUUGGAAUUGGGGUUGUAUCACAGAAUGUAUAAAAAUGUGUAUAAAAAGCCUUAGGAGUCCAUCUGUAGGUGUACAUUAUGUUGCAUAAAACUGCAGAUCCAAGAAGAAGAGCUUCAAAUGAGAUUAAAACAUGGUAUGUUACUUUGCAGACAGAUUUUAUAUACAUUAUAAAGGUAUGAUACAGAACUCUAAAUUCAGUCAUGAGAUGUUUGUUGAUGGUCAACACAAUCCCUUAUUAAAAAUGGUCACUGAUAAAAUCUCUAUGGCAUUGUAAUGACUGAUUUGUCUAACAUGCGGAGUUCGGAAUGGUAUACUACCCAAACCCAUUCAGAAAGAGUAAGAGUAGUAUGGUAAUAUGCCAUUCAUAGCCCGGCCUAACAUUUAUCAUCAUGAAUUUUCCCGUGUAAUAAUUUCUCAGUUCAACUGAGCUGAAGGAAGAAAGGUUCCUCAGUUGAGCUGACUGGCCUAUACUGAGAGUUGGGAGUUUUAGCACAAGAUAAAUAUGUAUGGUUGUAAAUUAUGAGCAGUAUCUUUUUUUCUAACAUUGUUAAAUGCCAUCAGCAAAUACAGCACAAAUCACUCCUGUUUUAAAGGAACUUCACUUGUUACCUGCUUUCUGCGCUUUCACGGCUAUUACAGCCUGGUCACUGUUCUUAUGUAUACAUAGGCCUAUGCAUUUAAGACUAUUACCAGAUAUUAGUGUUAAGGCUCAAUUACCAAGAUGUUAAUAUUAUUACUUCCAAAAUGUGAGGCUCUGUGAUGUUUAACCAACAAGGAUGGCAUGGCACAAAUGGCCUGUAAAAAAUUGUAUUGACUUAUUUACAAGCCAGGUAUGCAACAGAAAAUAUUUAAAGGGUAACUAAACCCCUGCUCAGAGUCUGACUCCACCCAGCG